ACAGGGGCACCAGCACCUUCUGAUCAACUCGAUAAAUGUAAAACUCCAUCAGGGAGAUUAUGCAGUUGUGGCCAUGACACACAGCACUUUCACGAGGUUUGGUUAGAAGCCACAAGGGGCCCACAGGUGCUGCUGUGCCUAUGUCAGCAUGCAAGAUUUCACGUAUCACCACUAGAGGCAAGAUUUUUAGGCAUUAGAAAAGAGUAUUUUAGGUGCUGAAAAUUCCCAGGCAAAACAUUCUGGCCUUCAACGUCAUAAAUGUAGGCACAAUAUUUUUUUUUACAUAAAUGCAAAUAAUUUCAAAACAAUGACGUGCGCAACCUGUAUCUACGACAGGAAAGCAAAAAAAAUGUUAUCAUUUAUCAUGGUACAAAGGCACCAAAGUUGAAGAUAGCCAUGCAAUUGGCCUUUUAAGUGCAUAGCACUUUAGGGGCUCGGCUUGUCGUUCAUCUGUCUAGUGAGGCGCAAUUAAGCUCGAAAUCAAGUGGUCAAUACAGGCCUAAAACAAGGCUAGCAAUGCUUAAAACCCGCAAGCUCUAAAAUGUAACUAACAGAAUUAACCAAGAAAUAGCAAUAAAUAACUUAAAAUCACUAAAAACACUUUGGAAACAUGUGGCUGACUCCACACCGUGCAGGAGGGCACCACCGCAUCACCAAGCACACGAUUGCUCCCCCCCCCCUGCCACUUCUCCGGCACCUUCGUAGCCACAUCUGAAGGGGGGACACAACCUGACGGAACUCGCUGCAAACGACACGAAUCUCAACUGCCGUAACAAGCAGGAAGUCGAUAAAUUGCAGCGAAAAGUAGCACACAUGUCACACACAAGAGUUUGCGAAUCUCUCUAACAAGAUUCUACUCGUGUCGGGGAAACACUAGAUGCUUACCGUGAACAUUGAUGUCAUCGACUUGCUCGUGAUUUUUGAAU
rnacentral:lncRNA from 1 species